UACAGAGGGUGCGAGCGUUUGUCCGGAAUCACUGGGCGUAAAGGGCGCGUAGGCGGCUCGGUCAGCGUGCGGUGAAAGCCCGGGGCUCAACCCCGGGUCGGCCGUGCGAACUGCUGGGCUGGAGCACUGUAGAGGCAGGUGGAAUUCCGGGUGUAGCGGUGGAAUGCGUAGAGAUCCGGAAGAACACCGGUGGCGAAGGCGGCCUGCUGGGCAGUAGCUGACGCUGAUGCGCGACAGCGUGGGGAGCAAACAGG
rnacentral:rRNA from 1 species